AAAUUGAAGAGUUUGAUCAUGGCUCAGAUUGAACGCUGGCGGCAGGCCUAACACAUGCAAGUU
rnacentral:rRNA from 1 species